ensembl:rRNA 5S_rRNA 5S ribosomal RNA
AUGUAUGGCCAUACCACCAUGAAUGUACCUGAUCUUGUUUGAUCUCAUGAAGCUAAGCAGGGUCAGGCCUGGUUAGUAUUUGGUAUGGGAGACCACCUGGAAAUACCUGGUGCUGUAGGCU